rnacentral:rRNA from 1 species
AAACUUAAAUGAAUUGAGGGACCCGCACAAGCAGCGGAGCGUGUGGUUUAAUUCGUUGCUACACGAAGAACCUUACCUGGGUUUGACAUAUAGGUUGUAGGGAACUGAAAGGGACCGACCCUUCGGGGAGCCUAUACAGGUGUUGCAUGGCUGUCGUCAGCUCGUGUCGUGAGAUGUUCGGUUAAGUCCGCUAACGAGCGCAACCCUCGUCGUAUGUUAUAUGUGUCAUACGAGACUGCCGGUAAAAAGCCGGAGGAGGGUGAGGAUGAUGUCAAGUCAGCAUGACCUUUAUAUCCAGGGCUACACACACGCUACAAUGGUCUGUACAAUGGGUAGCCAAGCCGCGAGGCGGAGCCAAUCUUGAAAGCAGGCCUCAGUUCAGAUUGCAGUCUGCAACUCGACUGCAUGAAGCCGGAGUUGCUAGUAACCGCAGGUCAGCAAUACUGCGGUGAAUACGUUCCCGGGUCUU